UACGGGGGGGGGCAAGCGUUGUUCGGAAUUACUGGGCGUAAAGGGCUCGUAGGCGGCCAACUAAGUCAGACGUGAAAUCCCUAGGCUCAACCUAGGAACUGCGUCUGAUACUGGAUGGCUUGAGUUUGGGAGAGGGAUGCGGAAUUCCAGGUGUAGCGGUGAAAUGCGUAGAUAUCUGGAGGAACACCGGUGGCGAAGGCGGCAUCCUGGACCAACACUGACACUGAGGAGCGAAAGCCAGGGGAGCAAACGGG
rnacentral:rRNA from 1 species